rnacentral:rRNA from 1 species
GACGAACCGUGCGAACGUUAUUCGGAAUCACUGGGCUUAAAGCGCGUGUAGGCGGCCCGGAGCGUCAGAUGCUGAAAUCCCCCGGCUCAACCGGGGAACGGGCUCUGAAACGUCCGGGCUGGAGGGGGGUAGGGGGAUCGGGAACUUCCGGUGGAGCGGUGAAAUGCGUUGAGAUCGGAAGGAACGCCCGCGGCGAAAGCGCGGUCCUGGACCCCACCUGACGCUGAGACGCGAAAGCCAGGGGAGCGAACGGG